rnacentral:rRNA from 1 species
AGCAGCCGCGGUAAUUCCAGCUCCAAUAGCGUAUAUUAAAGUUGCUGCAGUUAAAAAGCUCGUGGUUGAAUUUCGGGACCAUCAUGUCGGUCGUGCCUCGGUACGUACUGGCAUUGUUGGUUUCUCCCUUCUGACGAACCAUGAUGUCAUUUAUUUGGUGUUGUGGGGAAUCAGGACUGUUACUUUGAAAAAAUUAGAGUGUUUAAAGCAGGCUCACGCUUGAAUACAUUAGCAUGGAAUAAUGAAAUAGGACGUUUGAUUCUAUUUUGUUGGUUUCUAGGAUCGACGUAAUGAUUAAUAGGGAUAGUUGGGGGCAUUAGUAUUCAAUUGUCAGAGGUGAAAUUCUUGGAUUUAUUGAAGACUAACUACUGCGAAAGCAUUUGCCAAGGAUGUUUUCAUUAAUCAAGAACGAAAGUUAGGGGAUCGAAGACGAUCAGAUACCGUCGUAGUCUUAACCAUAAACUAUGCCGACUAGGGAUCGGAUGAUGUUAAUUUUUUAAUGACUCA